rnacentral:rRNA from 1 species
UACAGAGGGGGCAAGCGUUGUUCGGAAUUACUGGGCGUAAAGGGCGCGUAGGCGGCCUUCUAAGUCGAACGUGAAAUCCCCGGGCUCAACCCGGGAACUGCGUCCGAUACUGGAAGGCUUGAAUCCGGGAGAGGGAUGCGGAAUUCCAGGUGUAGCGGUGAAAUGCGUAGAUAUCUGGAGGAACACCGGUGGCGAAGGCGGCAUCCUGGACCGGCACUGACGCUGAGGCGCGAAAGCGUGGGGAGCAAACAGG